rnacentral:rRNA from 1 species
CCUACGGGUGGCAGCAGUGGGGAAUAUUGGACAACGGGGGGAACCCUGAUCCAGCCAUGCCGCGUGUGUGAAGAAGGCCCUCGGGUUGUAAAGCACUUUCAGUGAGGAAGAACGCCUGGUGGUUAAUACCCAUCAGGAAAGACAUCACUCACAGAAGAAGCACCGGCUAACUCCGUGCCAGCAGCCGCGGUAAUACGGAGGGUGCGAGCGUUAAUCGGAAUUACUGGGCGUAAAGCGCGCGUAGGUGGCUUGAUAAGCCGGUUGUGAAAGCCCCGGGCUCAACCUGGGAACGGCAUCCGGAACUGUCAAGCUAGAGUGCAGGAGAGGAAGGUAGAAUUCCCGGUGUAGCGGUGAAAUGCGUAGAGAUCGGGAGGAAUACCAGUGGCGAAGGCGGCCUUCUGGACUGACACUGACACUGAGGUGCGAAAGCGUGGGUAGCAAACAGGAUUAGAUACCCGGGUAGUC